AUAAUACUAUAGUGACAGUGUCAUAGUCAAUGACAUUUAUCUGAGGCACUAUUAUUGCUAGUUGAAAACUUUUCCCAAUACCCCACUGUGAUGACUUGAAAUAAUAGCAAUAAUAAUAGCAGGAAGUCCAGUUACAUUUGAAUUUCUGAUAAAUUGAAUAAU
ensembl:snRNA U4 U4 spliceosomal RNA